AUUGAACGCUGGCGGCAUGCCUUACACAUGCCAGUCGAACGGCAGCACGGACUUCGGUCUGGUGGCGAGUGGCGAACGGGUGAGUAAUGUAUCGGAACGUACCUUUCAGUGGGGAAUAACGUAGCGAAAGUUACGCUAAUACCGCAUAUUCUGUGAGCAGGAAAGCAGGGGAUCGAAAGACCUUGCGCUGAUUGAGCGGCCGAUAUCAGAUUAGCUAGUUGGUGGGGUAAAGGCCUACCAAGGCGACGAUCUGUAGCGGGUCUGAGAGGAUGAUCCGCCACACUGGAACUGAGACACGGUCCAGACUCCUACGGGAGGCAGCAGUGGGGAAUUUUGGACAAUGGGGGCAACCCUGAUCCAGCCAUGCCGCGUGAGUGAAGAAGGCCUUCGGGUUGUAAAGCUCUUUCGGCCGGGAAGAAAUCGCAUAGGCUAAUACCCUGUGUGGAUGACGGUACCGGAAUAAGAAGCACCGGCUAACUACGUG
rnacentral:rRNA from 1 species